UAGUUUGAUGAACACCACUGAAAUCGCC
rnacentral:piRNA from 1 species